CCUGGGAUUCCCAAGAGUUUCCACUUGGUGAUCAGCACUGAACACAGAAGACCAACCAUGGAGUUGGGGCUGAGCUGGGUUUUCCUUGUUGCUAUUUUAAAAGGUGUCCAGUGUGAGGUGCAGCUGGUGGAGUCUGGGGGAGGCUUGGUCCAGCCUGGGGGGUCUCUGAGACUCUCCUGUGCAGCCUCUGGAUUCACCUUCAGUAACAACUACAUGCACUGGGUCCGCCAGGCUCCAGGGAAGGGGCUGGAGUGGGUAGGUUUAAUUAGAAACAAAGCUGAUGGUGGGACAACAGACUACGCUGCAUCUGUGAAAGGCAGAUUCACCAUCUCAAGAGAUGAUUCCAAAAGCAUCGCCUAUCUGCAAAUGAACAGCCUGAAAACCGAGGACACGGCCGUGUAUUACUGUACCAGAGAGAUACAGCAGAUUAUUACUGUACCAGUGAGAGACACAGUGAGGGGAGGUCAGUGUGAGCCCAGACACAAACCUCCCUGCAGAGGCGCGCGGGGCCACCAGGGGGCGCUCGGGACCCACUGA